rnacentral:lncRNA from 1 species
UACGGAGGGCCCGAUGCCAACCCCGGAUAUCACACCAGGACGAGACAGUCCGGGUUUGGCCAUUCCAGCACAGAAUGCAGAGUCAGACAACAGAUACCAACUAAGCUUUAUUAAGACAGGUUACAGAAAAUAGACGACUAGAAAGACUAGAGAAAGUCGAGGUCCAAAUCGCUUGACGAGUGAUGUUAGAUUGCCUUUAUCUUUGGUCUUGCCUACAAUAGGACGCCGUCUCUUAUAUAUGAGAAGACAACAACAACGGCGACGCGAAGAUCGACAUUGCGGGCCGACGGCAUCCAUGCAAGUAAGUGAAGCGCGCGGGCACCGCGCGGGUGGUUGGGUUGGUUCGGCCUUGAGUAGAGGCACCUGAACAGCGGGUUCUGUUGCUUGUCGGUGGGCGGGGUGAAUUCUAGUUGGGUUCGCGGGGUCCGUAGGUCAGUAGGAAAGGUGGUUUUAUCUCGGCCUCCCGCAGUUGGCGAGGCAUUAGCUGGGAGUCCGUUUUGCCGGGAGUAGCUCUUGGUUGACAAGUUGUUGCGAGGGGCUUGGUCGGCGCCCUUUGUCUUGAGUUCGCCUGAUUUACCCUGGUAUCCUCGCGAGUCGCCAGAUAGCCCGGUGCAGGAUACUUACCAACAUAACAGCUACCCUACGUGCGAAGGCGUAAGGAACAACGAGCAAAACAGGCAUACAGGAUGGCGUCAAGAAAUCUGCAAGCAAACGAAAGUUGAAGUCAAGACGCGUGGACGGACCCGGAGUCUUCAGACGUGUGGACGGGCUACAGCUACAUCAGAAAGCCGCCGCGGCGGUCCGCUAAGUGCGGCACAAAUGCAUGACACGCGGCUGCGGAAGGCGGUGCGCUUAUAGAAAAGCCGCUGCGGCGGUCCGCUAAGUGCGGCACAAAUGCAUGACACGCGGCUGCGGAAGGCAGUGCGCUUAGGAAGCCCGCCGUGGCGGCACGCCGAAUUGAAGGUGUUGAUUUAGGAGCAUUUAGACAGCGGCCGCGGAAGGCGGUGCGCUUGUAGAAAAGCCGCUGCGGCGGUCCGCUAAGUGCGGCACAAAUGCAUGACACGCGGCUGAGGAAGGCAGUGCACUUAGGAAGCCCGCCGCGGCGGCACGCCGAAUUGAAGGUGUUGAUUUAGGAGCAUAUAGACAGCGGCCGCGGAAGGCAGUGCGCUUGUAGAAAAGCCGCUGCGGCGGUCCGCAAAGUGCGGCACAAAUGCAUGACACGCGGCUGCGGAAGGCAGUGUGCUUAGGAAGCCCGCCGCGGCGGCACGCCAAAUUGAAGGCGUUGAUUUAGGAGCAUUUAGACAGCGGCCGCGGAAGGCGGUGUGCUUGUAGAAAAGCUGCUGCGGCGGUCCGCUAAGUGCGGCUCAAAUGCAUGACACGCGGCUGCGGAAGGCAGUGCGCUUAGGAAGCCCGCCGCGGCGGCACACCGAAUUGAAGGCGUUGAUUUAGGAGCAUUUAGACAGCGGCCACGGAAGGCGGUGCGCUUGUAGAAAAGCCGCUGCGGCGGUCCGCUAAGUGCGGCAUGAAGGACGCUAUGAAGUGGGAGCCUGAACGCCUGGCAAGGAUGCUGGAAUGUAUAUGGUCUCACCGCAACUCUAUUGUUCCCUUUGGCCGUAAGUAUACUUCAUCACUUGUCUCGUUGGAAGUGCGAGGUAGGAUGGUGCUUAUAGGCGAUUUGGCAGCCCUUGAGCCCUCGGCUCGUACUAGGGUGGUUUGCAGGUACGGGGAACGCACCCACGACCAUGUAACAACAACAACAAGUGCGGCACAAAAAUGCAUGACAAUCGGCUGCGGAAGGCAGUGCGCUUAGGAAGCCACGCCGAAUGGAAGGCGUUGGGAUUUAGGAAUCUAUCGACAGCGGCCGCGGAAGGCGGUGCACCUGUAGAAAAGCCGCUGCGGCGGUCCACUAAGUGUGGCACAAAAUGCAUGACAAACGGCUGUGGAAGGCAGUGCGCUUAGGGAGCCCGCUGUGGCGGCAAGCCGAACUGAAGGCGUUGUGACCUAGGAGGAUAUAGAUAGCGACCACGGAAGGCGGUGCGCUUGUGGGAAACUGCUGUGGUGGUCCGCAAAGCGCGGCACAAAAUGCAUGACGAGCGGCGGUGAAAGGCAACGCGCCAAACCGAAGGUGUUUGGUAGGGGAACUUGUAGACAGCGACCACAGAAGGCAUUGCGCUUGUAGCAAACCGCGGCAGUGGUCUGCUGAGUUCGGUUCACAAGAGGCUGCAGGAGGUAGCGUUCUUGAGUAACC